ACUAAGUUGGGAGGUGCUGGUGAAACCAAGCUUUGAAAGGUUAAUCAGACCAGGGACCAACGCUAGUGUGAGUUGUAAGGGAUGGACACUGGUGAAGCUCCAGGCUAGGGUGGGCCAAGGGAGGCAGGCCUGCCAAUGACCCAUCUUCUUCCCUGCCUUCCCCAGCACAUGUUUUACGUGGGUCAGGAUUCAAGCCGCAGCGUGGCUUGCAUGGUGGACUCCAGCCUGGGUGUGUGGGUGACGUUGAAAGGUAGUGCCCACGUGUGUCUCUACCAUCCAGACACCUUUGAGCAGCUGGCAGAAGUAGACGUCACCCCUCCCGUGCACAGGAUGCUGGCAGGCUCGGAUGCCAUCAUCCGGCAGCACAAGGCUGCCUGUCUGCGAAUCACAGCGCUGCUGGUGUGUGAGGAGCUGCUGUGGGUGGGCACCAGUGCUGGUGUCGUCCUCACCAUGCCCACCUCGCCCGGUACUGUCAGCUGCCCACGGGCACCACUCAGUCCCACAGGCCUUGGCCAGGGACACACCGGCCACGUCCGCUUCUUGGCUGCAGUCCAGCUGCCAGAUGGCUUCAACCUGCUCUGCCCAACCCCACCACCUCCCCCAGACACAGGCCCCGAGAAGCUGCCAUCACUGGAGCACCGGGACUCCCCUCGGCACCGAGGCCCUGCCCCGGCCAGGCCUAAAAUGCUGGUUAUCAGUGGAGGUGAUGGCUAUGAGGACUUCCGGCUCAGCAGUGGGGGCGGCAGCAGCAGUGAGACUGUGGGUCGAGACGACAGCACAAACCACCUCCUCCUGUGGAGGGUGUGACCGUGUCUGCCGUGGCCCAGGACUUGCCCGCCCACCUGCCCUCAGCCUGCUUGCCUCUCCCUAGCCCACACGCAGACUUUGACCAGGAGUGUCCGGCCAGGGGCACACAUGUGCCUGCGUGGGCUCUGCCUUGUCUUCGCGGAAGCAUUCCUGAUGGAACACC
rnacentral:sRNA from 1 species